GAGAUAUUUACUUUUAACCCCUUAAGGACACAUGACUUGUGUGACAUGUCAUGAUUCCCUUUUAUUCCAGAAGUUUGGGCCUUAAGGGGUUAAAAGGAACAAAUUAAAGGACCACUAUAGUGCCAGGAAAACAUACUCGUUUUCCUGGCACUAUAGUGUCCUGAGGGUGCCCCCACCUUCAGGGACCCCCUCCCGCCCGGCUCUGGAAAGGGGUAAAAACUUACCUUUUUCCAGCGCUGGGCGGAGAGCUCUCCUCCUCC